AGGAAGAUCUUCACUUUCAUCUGCCCAACUUGUGGAAGUAUUUGGUUUGGCAGCAUACACCACGCUGUUCGCAUUACCCUUUGAUGUGUCAUUAGAUAAAAAUGUUAUGAAUGCUUAUCACCUUGAGGUCGUCACCUUGGACGGUAACAAAAAACAAACAGAUUUACUGCGGUCACAAAAGCUUCCAUACGGCAUAUUGAAGAGAACAAAAAGAUGAAGAGCUUGUAUCUCCUUGUCGCGCUCCUACUUGGGAUCUUAGGAAAUCCUCAGUUUGUGAAAAUCAAAGUGGUUAAAGGAAACGACCCAGGAUUAUGUUAUAAAAAUAGCAGUGAAA